GCUACGGGCGGCAGCAGUGAGGAAUAUUGGUCAAUGGACGCAAGUCUGAACCAGCCAUGCCGCGUGCAGGAAGACGGCUCUAUGAGUUGUAAACUGCUUUUGUACGAGGGUAAACGCAGAUACGCGUAUCUGUCUGAAAGUAUCGUACGAAUAAGGAUCGGCUAACUCAGUGCCAGCAGCCGCGGUAAUACGGAGGAUUCAAGCGUUAUCCGGAUUUAUUUGGUUUAAAGGGUGCGUAGGCGGAACAUUAAGUCAGCGGUAAAAUCGAGGGGCGAAACCCCUUUAAGCCGUUGAACAUGGUGAUCUUGAGUGGGCGAGAAGGAUGCGGAAUGCGUGGUGUAGCGGUGAAAUGCAUAGAUAUCACGCAGAACUCCGAUUGCGAAGGCAGCAUACCGGCGCCCGACUGACGCUGAGGCACGAAAGCGUGGGGAUCGAACAGGAUUAGAUACCCCAGUAGUC
rnacentral:rRNA from 1 species